CCAAUAGCGUAUAUUAAAGUUGUUGCAGUUAAAAAGCUCGUAGUUGAAUUUCGGGAUCAGUACGCCGGUCGUGCCUUCGGUAUGCACUGGUGUCACUGGUUUCUCCCUUCUGAAGAACCAUCAUGCCAUUAAGUUGGUGUGGCGGGGAAUCAGGACUGUUACUUUGAAAAAAUUAGAGUGUUUAAAGCAGGCUCGCGCUUGCAUACAUUAGCAUGGAAUAAUGAAAUAGGACGUUUGACCCUAUUUUGUUGGUUUCUAGGAUCGACGUAAUGAUUAAUAGGGAUAGUUGGGGGCAUUAGUAUUCAAUUGUCAGAGGUGAAAUUCUUGGAUUUAUUGAAGACUAACUACUGCGAAAGCAUUUGCCAAGGAUGUUUUCAUUAAUCAAGAACGAAAGUUAGGGGAUCGAAGACGAUCAGAUACCGUCGUAGUCUUAACCAUAAACUAUGCCGACUAGGGAUCGGAUGAUGUUAAUUUUUUAAUGACUCAUUCGGCGCCUUACG
rnacentral:rRNA from 1 species